GGCUCAAAGGCCUCUUUUAAUAAAACAAAUAUUAUGUACAAUAUGCCAGGUAGAUUAAGACCUAGCCUAAAAUAAAGACAAAGCAACAAAAGAUAUACAAUAACAAAACAAAACGGGAAAAUGCAUAAGUAUUCCUCAUCCUAUGUCCAAAAUUCCUGAGACACACCUAACCUUUACUAAGGUCCUCUUAUCCCCGAACUUAUUUUAUAUAUAAUUUUCUACUCCUUUUCGGCUUACGUGUUACUAUCCUUGAAAAAAUUGUCAACACGCGCUGAGGCCACAAGAUAGUGCCACGUAGGCCGAAAAGGGAUAGAAAAUUAUAAAUAAAAUAAGUUCGGAGGGUAAUAGAAUCUUAAUAAAGAUUAGGUGUAUCUCAGGGAUUUUGAACAUAGGUUGAGGAUACUUAUGCAUUGUCCCAAACAAAAAACCAAAACAAGCAUCAGCCUAAAAUGAAAAGGGAAAAGGGAAAGUGAUGUUUGGAACGGAAGCUCUCGCAUCUGCCACUUAGAUCGGCGGCAACUUUCCGGUAGGACUCAUCCUCCAUAACUGAUCUCUCAACUCCUUGAAUAGAUCUCCAGUUGUAAGGUGAUGAGGAGAUCAGAUGCUCGUCUCGUCGUUCUCCAAAUGUAAUACCUCCAGCUAAGUGCAUUUCCUUCCGAAAUCUCACUUAAUAUUUGAAGUUUAGAUGUACAUCUAGGCUCUAGCAUCUGGGUUCUUGUCUUGUCUGGAGAUUUCGGGGCUAAUCGAUGAAGGAUGAAGACUACUGCUCGAGCGUUUUGGGUAUUAAUACACUGGUGAUUGAGAUCAUUAUAUCCUGGGAGGACAUAUUCCAAAUCAAACCUCGGAUACUAGAGGGGAAUAAUUUCCUUAAAGGGACAUUAUGCAUUCAGUGGGCUUGAUCUUUUCCGUUCUGAUUUUCCAGAUUCUGGCAACUAGUACAACUGUGGUAAGACUGGUCACAAGUCUUCUGACUGUCGUGCUCUAAGAAAGGACAAAGACAAAGGUAAAAGUCAAGCAAACAUCGUGGAAAAGAUGGAAGAUGCAGAUGACCUCUGUGCAAUGAUCUCGGAGUGCAACUUAGUUGGAAAUCUCAAUUAGUGGUUUCUCGGCUCAGGUGUCACUCGACAUAUUUGUCUUGCGAAAGAAGCCUUUGCAAUGUACACUCCUGAUGAGUUCAAUGAAGAUUUGGUCAUGGGGAACACAGCAACAACAAUGAUUGCAGGAACUGGGAAAGUUAUGUUGAAGAUGACAUUCGGGAAGAUGUUGACUUUGAACAACGUUCUACACGUUCCUACUAUUAGGAAGAAUUUAGUUUUUGUUGCACUUCUCAUUAAGAAAGGGUUUAAGUAUGUCCUAGUUAGUGACAAAACUGUAAUAAGUAAGAAUGAGAUGUUCUUAGGAAAGGGCUACCUCACUGAGGGCCUCUUUAAACUACUCCCUCUGUCCCAAUUUAUGUGAUUCAUUUUCCUUUUUGGUCAGUCCCAAAAAGAAUGACACAUUUCCUUAUUUGGUAAAUAUUUAAUGACACUAUUCCUAUUUUACCCUU